UUUGGGGAGGAACAGCACAGGAGUACACUGAUCUCUAUACAGUGCGUUGAAGAUCGAUAUGUCCCAUUGCUGGUGGCACCAACAUUGAUCUCUUGGGUAAGGUGGUGACCACCAGGUUUCUCCACUGGAAGGUCUUGGCCACUCCCAGGUUUGCCCAGAGCCAAGUGUUCAGGUGACCCAGGACCUGCAGGAGAAAUCACCAAGAAGAGGUUAUGUGCACAGAAAAUUCACACUGGAUGGGGCAAGCCAAGAUGAGUGACUAUCUGCUGUCUCCAGUGGUUCCCCAUGCUACACCUGAUUCUGUUUUCAGAGCCAUCUUCUUGGGAUAUUGGUUCUUCGCCUGAUUAUGUCUCAUCUGACAGGUCUCACUCCUUCUAAGCAACACCCUGCAGAGUGAUGCAUCUCUACCCAGAAAAGGUCCACUGAAGGAACCAGACGUUUCCACAGGAGAAAGGCACAGCAUGGAAUUACUAUACAGAGAAAUACAUGAGCCAUCAAGAAAUAAAGUGAGAAUGUGGAUGAGGCCCAUGAAGAAGCCAAUAUGCCAAACAGUGAGCACACCAGGACUACUCCAAGAAUUUAAGAAGCUCGCACACGUUGGGGGUAUAAUAAAGAAAGGACUCCCUAUUCAAUAAAUAAUGCUGGGAUAACUGGCUGGCCACAUGCAGAAGAUGGAAACUGGAUUCCUUCCUUACACCAUAAACAAAAAUCAACCCAAGAUGGAUUAAAGAGUUAAAUGUAAAACCUAAAUCUAUAAACACUCUGGAAGAUAUCCUAGAAAAUAUCAUUGUGAACAUAGGCCCCGGCAAAAGUUUCCUGAUGAAAAUGCCAAAAGCAAUUGCAACAAAAACAAAAAUUGACAACUGGGACUUAAUUAAACUAAAGAGCGUCUGCGCAGCCAAAAGAACUAUCAACAGAGUAAACAGACAACCUACAGAAUGGGAGACAGUAUUUGCAAACUAUGCAUCCAACAAAAGCCUAUUAUCCAUCAUCUACAGGGAACUUAUUAACAAUCAGAAAACAAAGAACCCCAUCAAAAACUGGGCAAAGGACAUGAACGCUUUUCAAAAGAAGACGUACAUGCAGACAACGAGCAUACGAAAAAAUGCUCUACACCACUAAUCAUUAGAGAAAUUCAAAUCAAAACCACAAUGUGAUACCAUCUCACACCAGUCAAAAUGACGAUUAUUAGAAAGUCAAAAAAUGGAGAGGUUGUGGAGAAAAGGGAACACUUAGACACUGCUGGUGGAAAUGUAAGUUAGUUCAGCCAUGUGGAAAGCAGUGUGGCAAUUUCUCAAAGAACUUAGAACUGCCAUUCGACCCAGCAAUCCCAUUAUUGGAUAUAUACCCAAAGGAAUAUAAAUCAUUCUACCAUAAAGACACAUGAACACGUAUGUUCAUCGCAGCACUAUUCACAAUAGCAAAGAACGAGAUCAUGUCCUUUGAAGCAACAUGGAUGGAGCUGGAAGCCAUUAUCCCAAAAAAACAAAUGCAGGAACAGAAAACCAAAUACUGCACGUUCUCACUUAUAAGUGGGAGCUAAAUGUUGAGUACACAUGGUAACAAAGAAGGGAACAACAGAUACUAGGGCCUACGUGAUGGUGGAGGGUGGGAGGAGGGAGAGGAUUGAAAAACUACCUAUUGGGUACUACGCUUAUUACCUCGGUGACAAAAUAAUCUGUACGCCAAACCCCCAGGACAUGCAAUUUACCCAUGUAUUUUAAUUCUAAAAUAAAAUAUUUUAAUUCUAAAUUCUAAAAUAAAAUAUCUUAAUUCUAAAACAAAAGUUAAAAAAGUAAAGCACUUGCCAAACCUAUCUGACUGCAGUGCACACUUUUUAAAAAAGACUAUCAUUUGAGACUUUAGGAUUAUAAAGACUCCAGUUUGGAUUCUUAUCCUCCAAGACAUGGAGGAUGAGUUUCUCAUUAGAUCAUAGUCCUGGGUUUUCUACUGUCUGUCCUCAGUUUCAGCACGUUCCUGCUCACUGAUUCUCAUGAUGUAUGUUGAUGGUCUCUCUUCUCUCUCAUCCUCCCAAGGGGAUUUGCUGAGGUUCAAUGUUAUUACAAGGUGAGAAUGUGAACCUCAGGAGCCUAAUAUGAGCUCCCUUGGUAUGAGAAAAUUCUCACUGCUCACAGGUAAAAAUAAUAUCCUGGUCACACACUUCCCUUGGCACACCCAUGCCCAGAAUGACUGAACCCCCAAUUGUGCACGAGCUGAACUCUUGCUGGACCUUCGAGACUCAGCCCAAAGCUUACUUCCUUAUCUAAGCCUAACAGGAACCACUCAUAGGCAGUCUAUCCGAUCCAAGUGCGUUUCCAUGGAAUAGUAAAAACAAUGCUGUCAGCUAAUAACUGUUGGGUACUUACUAUGUAUAUGACACUGUGUUGAGUACUGCGAUUUGAAUGUAGAUUUGUCCAACUCCUGAACCAGACUGUUUAACCAUUGCAUGGUCUGGCCUCUCCUGAGCUGUUCCCGUCAAUAUUUAGCACAUAGCAUUGUGUGACAAAGACUGCCAGUUUUCCACCAAAAUUCACAUUGCUCUUCUUCCUGAGAAUAUGGCUGCCCAGGUGGUGAAUGUUUCCUGACCUACCCCAUGGCUAGGUGUGGCCAAGUAGCCAAGCAUUCACCCAUGGAACUGGAGAAAUUCCCAUGGCCCUCCUUAAAAGGACAUCUCUUUCCUAGGACUUCCACACUCUCUCCCUUCUCCAGUGCCUGGAACUUGCUUGGCCAUGCAGACCAGGAUGGUCCCCUGGGGUUGGUGGAGGGAUGAAAUGGAAUGAAAUGGAAGGGCUUCAGAACGUGCGGAGCAGAGCCACCUGCCAAGCUGGAGGCUGUUAACGAAUGAGAGCAAAAUGAACUUCCCUGUUCUCUGAGCCACUGUAUUUUGGGGCCUGUUUGUCACAGCAGCUGAGACAUUGCCCUAAACAAUUCACCUUGAGAUGAUCUGGUUUUUCCCUACAAGACAAUGAAGUCCUUGAAGUCAGGGAUCAUGCCAAACUCAUUUCUCCAUGUAUCCAGCCUGGCAUGGUGGCUGGAUCACAGCAAGUAUUCCCCAGUGAUGCUCCUGUUGAAUGUGUGAAUAAAUAAAGUGCUACUUCUUAUGUUGCUGCAAAAAUCCCAAUGAGAAAUGUGUGUGCAUUGAGACUAGAUGCAGGUAUAUCUGAACAGAGAGAAAGACUGGUCCUCGGUGAGAAUUGGGACCAGGAGGCAAGACUGACAGCAUUCCCAGGGGACUGGAGGGAGAGAUGCAUCCGAUUUCGGUUGAUUUCAUACAGUGGCAAUGAGUGUGCUCGCAAAUGCCAGGAAGGCUUGGCCAGUGGCACCCUGUGUACACCAUUUCAUGAACUACUGUGGUGAUUAAACCGCAGGGUGCUCCAGAGAGGCUUUCUAGCUUUUUUCCCUGGCACAUCCCCUCGCUUGAGUAAUGCCCGGCUUUAACUUUAGGAAGGCAGAAGAUGGCAGUCGGGCUGUCUGUCAGUGUCAUCAUGUGUCAUCAUCUUUGGGCUGCCAGUGGGACAGCUGGGGAAGAGCAGGAUCAAGUUGACUGGCAGAGGGUUUUACAUCUAAUGAGUUUGUGUGUAGUAAUAGUGUAAUAAAUAAGGCUCUGGAG
rnacentral:lncRNA from 10 species